GACGAACGCUGGCGGCGUGCCUAACACAUGCAAGUCGAACGGGAUCCAUGAGAGCUUGCUCUCGGAAGAUCUAGUGGCGAACGGGUGAGUAACACGUGAGAAACCUGCCCUGGAGUGGGGAAUAACUCGGGGAAACUCGAGCUAAUACCGCAUACCCUCGGAUGGUCGCAUGGCCGACCGAGGACAGAUUUAUCGCUCUAGGAGGGUCUCGCGGCCUAUCAGCUAGUUGGUGGGGUAACGGCCUACCAAGGCAACGACGGGUAGCUGGUUCGAGAGAGCGAUCAGCCACACUGGGACUGAGACACGGCCCAGACUCCUACGGGAGGCAGCAGUGGGGAAUCUUGCGCAAUGGGCGAAAGCCUGACGCAGCAACGCCGCGUGCGGGAUGACGGCCUUCGUGGUUGUAAACCGCUUUCAGCAGGGACGAAAAUGACGGUACCUGCAGAAGAAGCCCCGGCUAACUACGUGCCAGCCGCCGCGGUAAGAC
rnacentral:rRNA from 1 species